AAAUUUAGUCCUUAAACAGGUAAUUCAACCUGUACCUAACAUAUAAAACCUAAUUCUCUCCUACAAAAGAAAAGAAAAGCAUAAGAAAUGAAAAAUCUAAAUCUGUUCAGACUCGAACUGAAGCCGACGAGUAACACAAAGAGAAACAUGGGGUGAGCGACUCAAGCGAAAAUGGGAAAGAUCUCAGUGUCCAAGUUUCGGUUUUAAGUCAGACGCGACGUCGUUUAGCAAAUCAGGAUGAUGAGACAAGAGACUGGAAAGAACAACAUGGCAUUUGCUGAUUUGAGUUCAGUGGUUUGGUGGAAUUCAAAGUCCGCACCUACUUCCUUCUACUGGAGCUUCAGGGUUGGCUCUAGGCUAUCUACGACUGACUUCGUCUUUAGGUUUGGUGGGAAAAAUGGCCCUUCAAAAUAUUGAAAAUAAAGAAGAAUUCAAGGAUAGAAGUUGGAGUCCGCCGUGGCAGAGAAAAUAAGACAUUCUAGGAGAUUUUCUACUGAAUAAUUUCGACAGGGAGUAGAAGAUGCAGGCCAGCCAUCAAAGACAUUAGCUUUUUGUGAUUUUCAUGUUUUCGGCUGAAAAAGUGACUAGGAAAAAGUACCAAUGGAAAGCUAGGAGGAACCAUCAUCAUAACUGAGCAGACAUGGCCAUUUAUUCUUAUAAUGAAGCUUAAUCAGUGUCUGUAUAUGUUAACUUCCAACAAAUAUGAUGUCUCCAGGCGUACUUUGAGGUAUGUAGUCGAUUUCUUGUAAAUACAUAUGCUGUUGAGAUUUUCAUCGUUCUUGAGUGUGAUCAUUACCAAGAGAAAUUGUUGCUAAGAACGUGGGAUCCUCUGUGAAAAGCUAGACAGAAUAACCAUCACGUCUGACUGUCUAAGGAUUUAGAUAUUAGAAAAAAAACCCAUUCUUUUCUAGGAGAAUCUAGGGGCUUGUUGGAACCAUUUUCAAAACUAUAGACAGCUUUUGGACACUGUUGAUUAUUGUAAUUUGUGUGUUACGUAGUUUUAAUAAUUUGUGUGUUAAGUAGUUUUAAUAA